GACGAACGCUGGCGGCGUGCCUAAUACAUGCAAGUUGAGCGAUGAAGAUUGGUGCUUGCACCAAUUUGAAGAGCAGCGAACGGGUGAGUAACGCGUGGGGAAUCUGCCUUUGAGCGGGGGACAACAUUUGGAAACGAAUGCUAAUACCGCAUAACAACUUUAAACAUAAGUUUUAAGUUUGAAAGAUGCAAUUGCAUCACUCAAAGAUGAUCCCGCGUUGUAUUAGCUAGUUGGUGAGGUAAAGGCUCACCAAGGCGAUGAUACAUAGCCGACCUGAGAGGGUGAUCGGCCACAUUGGGACGGAGACACGGCCCAAACUCCUACGGGAGGCAGCAGUAGGGAAUCUUCGGCAAUGGACGAAAGUCUGACCGAGCAACGCCGCGUGAGUGAAGAAGGUUUUCGGAUCGUAAAACUCUGUUGGUAGAGAAGAACGUUGGUGAGAGUGGAAAGCUCAUCAAGUGACGGUAACUACCCAGAAAGGGACGGCUAACUACGUG
rnacentral:rRNA from 1 species